UGUUAAAAUUAACAAUGGAAGUAGAAGAUUCGGGAUGGUUGAAUUGGAAGAUUCGACGGGUUUUUCAUUUUGUUUCUAUUUCUCUCCCAAAUUGCAUGAACCCUAAUCAGCUUCGAUUGUUUCUCAUUUCGUAAUUUAUCUUUCAAAUCGCAGGAACCCUAAUGCAAUUUCUGGUAAUUUUCUUCUGAAUUUCAACUUAAAUUUUGCGUAUUUUGUUUUCUAAACAUUUGCUUUGGUCCUAGAUAUAUCUCGGUGUUUUAGUGAGAUUGGAUUGGAUUGCUAUGCUUUCAUGCUUGAAGGUAUAAUGAUUUUAAUAAUGCGGUGAAAGAUUUUGGGAGCCUAUUCAAUGCAGAGGAUUGUUUGCUAGAUUUGUUUCCCUUGCAAGUUAGGAUAUUUGUUUCAUGGGAAACCAGUUCACUGGUAGCAAAGAUAAGCCAAAAGCUCCUUCAUCAUAACAGUUAGGAGGUUGAAAAUAAACCAUCAGUUCAAUUGUCGAGUUCGGAAUUGUUCCUGACACAACUACAUUUAGAAAGACGGGUUAUCAAGGGAAAAUAUCGUUAGCUUUGUUCCUGGUGUGGUUGGUUUUGUUCAUUUUAUUUUCAUUGUGAAUAUAUGUUGGACUAUGAAGCGAUACCACAACUUAUCUUUUGUCUUGAUUGAAGAAGAACAAACAAAGCCUCAAGUUCUUGAUAACUAUUACUUUCCGAAAGAAGGCUUCUCAUAUCAGGAUCUUUUGGAAGCCACUAGAAAUUUCUCAGAAUCUGAAGUUAUAGGAAGAGUAGCUUGUGGAACUAUCUACAAAUUUUUUAUGAAUGAUGGUGAAUUUAUUGUUGUCAAGAAGCUGAAUUUGCGCGGAGAAGGAGUGUCGGGCAUCAACCGAAGCUUCUUGGAUGAGAUUUCAACUCUUGAAAAGACCAGCCACAUGAACAUUGUGAAGCUGCAUGAAUUAUGUUUUCAUGAAGAUUCUAAUCUUUUAUUGUAUGAGUACAUGGAAAAUGGAAGCCUUGGUAAAAAGCUUCGUUCAAGUUCAACAUUUUUAUUAUUGGAUUGGAAUGUUCGAUAUGAAACAACUUUAGGGAUCUAAACUUAGUUAUGAUUUGCGAACAUGAUAUAAAUUUUGUUUAAGAGUAUUGCAACAGUUGA